rnacentral:rRNA from 1 species
GAUGAACGCUGGCGGCGUGCCUAAUACAUGCAAGUCGAGCGAACAGACGAGGAGCUUGCUCCUCUGACGUUAGCGGCGGACGUGUGAGUAACACGUGGAUAACCUACCUAUAAGACUGGGAUAACUUCGGGAAACCGGAGCUAAUACCGGAUAAUAUAUUGAACCGCAUGGUUCAAUAGUGAAAGACGGUUUUGCUGUCACUUAUAGAUGGAUCGGCGCCGCAUUAGCUAGUUGGUAAGGUAACGGCUUACCAAGGCAACGAUGCGUAGCCGACCUGAGAGGGUGAUCGGCCACACUGGAACUGAGACACGGUCCAGACUCCUACGGGAGGCAGCAGUAGGGAAUCUUCCGCAAUGGGCGAAAGCCUGACGGAGCAACGCCGCGUGAGUGAUGAAGGUCUUCGGAUCGUAAAACUCUGUUAUUAGGGAAGAACAAAUGUGUAAGUAACUAUGCACGUCUUGACGGUACCGAAUCAGAAAGCCACGGCUAACUACGUG